rnacentral:lncRNA from 1 species
UCCACAUUCUGAAAGUGAGUCGUUAACUUGUUCACCUCAUUCAUAAUGCAAUUCAGGUUCUUGAUUGGUGACAGUUUCUUAGCAUCGCUUCUAAGGCAAUCUCUUUCAGUCAAUUGUGACAUUUCAGAAUUUUUUUCAUAUUCUAUGAUGGAAAAUUUAGCAAUGGUGGCCAUUUCAUUCACAAGUCCUGGGAUUCAAAAUG